rnacentral:lncRNA from 1 species
AAUGAAUCAAGUUUGAAGCGGAAAUGAACAACUGCAACAGAGGCACCUAAUACAAUAGAAAUUUGCGUUGGCAGAACAGAAUCAAAUACUCAAUUCAAAUGGCUCGCAUAGUAAUAAAUUUUUUUUGCAGUACUGAAAAUAUAAAACGUCAGUUUACAUAGAUUCUUCUUGAUCGGAGCAGCUGGAUAAAACUGAAUUAAGGUUGCUGUGCUGCCGGUACUGCUGGUUGAGGCUUCUGCUGAUAAGCUGCUUGCUCACCAGCAGGAGGUGGUGGAGGUCUGGCAGCUUGAUAAGGCGGGGGAUACUGCUGAUAAUGUUGAGGCGGUGGUGGAGGCAUAUAGCCAUAGGGUGGAUAGUAAGGCGGGUAAAAUUGACCUUGAGGUGGGGGUGCCGGUGGAUACGCAUAAUGCUGCUGUCCUUGUGGUUGUUUCU